GUCAAAAUACACCCAGAUGCUCUCACACACCCAGACGCGCGCGCAUCCCCGGGCCAUGGGGCGCACGUGAGCCCACGCCCCGCGCACCCAGCCCUGCCUCUCUCCAGAGCAUCCUCAGCAGCUGCCACAGAAGCAGCCUCCUCCUCCUCCUCCUCCUUCUCCUCUUCCUCCUCCUCCUCCUCCUCUUCCUCCUCCUCCUAUCGCCGCUGCCGCCGUUGCUGCUGUGUCUCCUAUCCCCUCUCGUUCUCCUUCCUCCCCCAGUUCCUGCUCCUCCUCCCAUUCCCGGAGCCUCCUGCCCGGCGGCGGCGACGAAGGGCAGAACCCUCAGCUGCGGCUCCCCUUUGCUUGGGCCACGAAGAGGCUGGAACAGCCCAGUAUUCCAGCCCAUCUGAGCUCAUUUUGAAUCUCAGUUUUGGUCUUCAAUAAAUUUGAUAUCCCUGCCAGCUGUGGGUCAUCUUCAGACGUGAUUUGCGAGCAUAAGACCCUACAGGGAAAGUUUUUGGAAAAUGUAAA
rnacentral:lncRNA from 1 species